UACAGAGGUCUCAAGCGUUGUUCGGAUUCAUUGGGCGUAAAGGGUGCGUAGGCGGUCGCGUAAGUCAGGUGUGAAAUCUCAGGGCUCAACCCUGAAACUGCACUUGAUACUGCGUGGCUCGGGUACUGGAGAGGAGACUGGAAUUUACGGUGUAGCAGUGAAAUGCGUAGAUAUCGUAAGGAAGACCAGUGGCGAAGGCGAGUCUCUGGACAGUUACCGACGCUGAGGCACGAAGGUCAGGGGAGCAAACGGG
rnacentral:rRNA from 1 species